rnacentral:rRNA from 1 species
GUCUACGGCCAUGCCACCCUGAACAAGCCUGAUGUCUGAUCUCGGAAGCUAAGCAGGGUUGGACCUAGUUAGUACUUGGAUGGGAGACCACCUAGGAAGACCAGGUUCUGUAGGCA